GUCGGUUGUCGCCAUCUCGCUUCUUCUUCUUGUUGCGGCCCAUAACUGUGAGGCCUGGGCGGUGCUGUUUCCCCUCUCCUAAGAGAGCAGGGAAGAGAAGGAGAAAGAGAGGGGGAGAAACAUCAAUCAGCUGCCUCUUGUGAUGCGGGCAUGUGCCCGGACUGGGAAUCAAACUGCGACCUUUUGCUUUGCGGAAUGACACCCACCCAACUGAGCCACACCAGUCAGGGCUCACACACUCCUGAUGCACAGCCAUGCAGAGCCUCAUCUUCCCCAUUUGUGUGGCAGCUGUUUAACCGAACGCCUACUAUGUGCCUCGCCUGGAGCUGCUCUGAGAGAAUUCAAUGAUGAAACCUUCCCAGUCCCUGCUCUUAAGCAGCUCACUGUUAGGGCGGAAUGUGGCCAUGGACCUCAGGAAGGAGCAGCGUGAUGCUGGCUCUCGGGGGUCACAGCACCAAAGAGAAGAGAUAUGGACCAGGAGUGACCCACGUUGGAGGUCAGACCAACACGCCCACCCUGCUCUCCACUGCCUGCCCAGCCCACCACAGGUCGCCUUCCUCCAGAUGGCCGAAGCCCACCCUGGCACAGGAGGACUGGGGAGUGCACAGGAUGGCAAGGAGCCCAGGGAGGAGGCUGGGCCACACCCACAGUGAGCCCCUCCCCCCUCUUCCCAGACUAAGCAGGCUGCCUCAGAAAAAACCACAGCAGCUAUACUUUUUCCUGCAGGGCCUUCCCCAAACCUCCACCUGGGGGGCGGGGUGCAUAGCUCCACCUCCUUUCCACCGUGCUUCCCCUCCAUGGGCCACAGGCGCCCUCUCUGCCUGAUCGGGUAGUCUGGGCAUUUCAGGAGGAGGCCUAAGCCAAGGACGGGGAACUUCGCUCCCCCACCGCACCCCCUCUCCAGGUAUUUUCCAGCUGGUCUGUGCACGGCCCUUGCCCAGCUGCCGUCAGGCGGGCCUGGCCAGCGGUUCCAGCCCCGUGGUUAGGCUCUCGGGGGCCCUGAGUGCUUCUUCUCCAUUCUUCUCCCAACCCGAAGACACGUGGGCACCAGGGAGCAUUUGCCAUUGCACGCGGGGCCACUUUACUCCUUGUGGGCAUCUGGCCAGCCAAGGUCUAGCAGAGAGACGUGUGGCAUGGUGAACAGGACCCUGGAGAGGCCCCUUUGAGAGUCUGGAGACUUGGGUGCUGGUCCUGGCCCUCCCGAGGCAUCGUGGCAAGUCCGUUCUCUCCGUGCGCCUCAGUUGCCCCCGUCCGUGUGUUGGAGAGGUGAAACCCUGCUCCUCUGCACCAGGUCGGCACAGGGUGGCAUUCUGAUCCAAAUAGGUUUUGUUUUCAUAGUCUCGGGAGGUCUCAGCUUCUUUCCCCAGGCUGUUUACCGUCCUGGGGUCAAUGCCUCUGGAAGGUUCCUCUACCCCCCACCUCACCCCCAUCAGUUCCCCCUCACUGAGGCUGAGGCGGGGAGUCUCUCCAGAUCCCAUUCAUUGUCCCCUAUAACAGGGACUGCGGUUUUCCUGGGCACAGGGACAGGGUGCAUUGUGUGGUGGCGCCGCCCAUGUAUCUGCCAGGCCCUGUGCCCGGCGCCUCGCUUUCAAGCCUGAUCUCAUUUCAUCUCCACCUCGCCCCAUCUGGUCUCAUCUAGCAGAUGGGCUGAGCCGUUCAGGGACACGGCCUGGUCCCCCGAAAUGAAGGUCCUGUUAGAGUCAGGGAGAGAAAGGCAGGCCUAGCGCGGACGGAGGCUGCCGGGCUCUGACUGUGGCCGCGUCCUUGACCUCUCCGAACCUGCUCCUGGGCCUGGAAAGUGGGAGCCUUACCCAGCCAGUCACCAGAGGAGUCCACGAGUGAUGUGGGAGGGGCUCUACAUUACUUCUCUCUUCUGCACCUCCCCGGGCCAAGGCCCCUCUCCCCCUGGGCCUUGCCUCCUUGUUCAGCAGUCAGGAAUUCCUCCACCCUGAGGGCCUGCCCUACGGCUGGACCUUGCCUGCUGCAGGAGAUGAGCUCGGCUUGCCCAGGGCACUGCGGCCCUUCCCAGCCUGCCUUGCCCUCGUGCAGGCUGGGCCUCCUCCAGCUGGCAGAGGUGGAGAGGGCUGCCGGGCCCACUGAAACGCCACCCACAGCGCCCGCCAACCUGGCCGGCCUGGGUGGGGAAAGCACGGUGACUGGAGCCAGGCAUCCUGGAAGUCGGAGCAGGCAGGGACCCCAGGUGCCGCUCCAGGUGCGAACGUAGCAACCAGCCAGUGCGGUAGCAGCUUGACCAAGGUCACACCAGAGGCUGGAGCUGGUCCAUCUGCUGAGCCAAGGAGAGAACGCUGAGGGCCUGGCAUACCUGGACCUCAAACAAUGAUUUUUUUGUUUGUUUUUCUAAUGAAGAUUUUUAUUUCUUUACUUUUAGAGAGAGGGGGAAGGGAGGAAGAAAGAGAGGGAGAGAAACAUCGGUGGGCACUCGGUUCACUGAACCGCAACAGCCAGAGCGAUGAUCUUUUUUGGAUCCUGCUACAUGAAGGAUGGAAAGGACUGGUGUGGGGGCAGAGAACUCCGCUCCCCCACCGCACCCCCUCUUCAGGUAUUUUCCAGCUGGUCUGUGCAGCAGGAGCCAACCCCUCCCCACGCCCCCCCGCCUUUGCUUGUGCUGCUCCUCUCACCCAGGCAGCCACCUCCCCCAACACGGUGGAUGCCUGCCACAUUCCCCUUCCCCGCUGGUGUCCAUGCCCACCUCUGAUCACAGGCCCCGACUUGCCUUUGGUGAACCACCCUCGUUCACAUGAGGCCCAGCUGGGGCCAGGCCUGUCAUUCGUUAGCCCUCCGGGGCUCAGGCAUGAGUCUUUUCAGGUUUUUUUAAAACAAAAAACAAAAAAUGAGCCCUGGCUGGUGUAGCACAGUGGAUUGAGCGCAGGCCUGCGAACCAAAGCUUCGCUGGUUGGAUUCCCGGUCAGGGCACAUGCCUGGGUUGCAGACCAGGUCCCCAGUAUGGGGUGUGCUAGAGGCAAGCACACAUUGAUGUUUCUCUCCCUGUCUCCCUCUCUUC